rnacentral:lncRNA from 1 species
AACAAAAAUAUAACUUUAUAACUUGCGUCUAUGUAACGAAUAUAGUAUAGCUGAGAUUUUAUAAUUUGAAUUUUUCUAUUUUAGAUAUACAAAAUUUUACUCUAAAUUAAAGCAAGAGAACUACAAACAAUUAAUUAAAGGGUCUCGAGUCUCAACUACCUACUUAAACUAGUCAUUCAUACUCAAGCUAUCAAAUGAGUUGACAUUUUACUAUUUUAGUUAUAACUUGUUAUUGGUAUCGACGAACUUCAAAGAAAAGUAUAUUUGCUCCUUUGCUGCAACUUGUAAUUGGUAUUGACAAACUUCAAAUGAAAGUGUCUUUGCUCCUUUGCUGCUUCUACUUCUUUUUCUCCUUCUUGUACACCGGCUUCCAAAAAUGAUUGUCGAACUGUAACAUAUCAACCUCUGUAAUUUUUAUAUUGUUGGCAUAGCAAAUAAUAAAAUUCAAUCACCAUUAAUUGGUUAAUAAAACAAGAAAGUACAAUACGAACGAAUCUUUCUUUAUUGUACUUCCAUCCGCUAAACUUGGUAGAAAUGAUGGCUUGCAAGAGCAAUUUAUAGCAGUAAUUAUCACAAAUAACAUCUAGAAGACCGUAACAACAAAAUAUAAUUGAACAAAAAUGAUUUUUCCUAAAAUGCACUGGAAAACAAUUCAUAUCUAGUUUUAAAGGUAGAACUGUGCAUGUUCAAACUUCAUAUUCAUCUAUGUCUGAAGUUGUAACUUCACCCCAAUUUUUCAACUCUAAUGUGUGAACACACACACAUGUAUGUAUAUGAAUAUAUAUAUAUAUAUGUGUGUGUGUGUGUGUGUGUGUGUGGUGUUGUUGAUUGUAUGUACUAUGUAGGUAUAUAUAUAUGUGUGUGUGUGGUGUUGUUGGGUGUAUGUACUAUGUAGGUAUAUAUAUGUAUGGGUGUGUGUGGUGUUGUUGGUUGUAUGUACUAUGUAGGUAUAUAUAUGUGUGUGUGUGUGGUGUUGUUGGGUGUAUGUACUAUGUAGGUAUAUAUAUGUAUGGGUGUGUGUGGUGUUGUUGGUUGUAUGUACUAUGUAGGUAUAUAUAUGUAUGGGUGUGUGUGGUGUUGUUGGUUGUAAUAUAACAUAAGUAUCUAUUAUGUAAAAGGAUAAAAAAACACAGGUUUAAUACUAAAUAUGCUUCGUAAAGUAUCACAAUGAACAACAUUAGAAUUCAUUUCAUUGAAUGAUCAAAGUUAAAUAUGCCUUUAAACUUUGUGAGAGGAAUUACCGAUAAGAAGCUAAAUUUACAUAGGAAUAUAUAAUCUCGGAAUUCAAGUAUGGAAUUUUUGGCCCAUGAUUUUCUCUUUACUUGUUUUUUCCACAGUUGAACCGAAAAUACACUUGUCCAUAAAUUUUCUUGCAAAUAAAAGUACGUUCUUUUAUUUUAAAAUACUCACAAUUUAUAUGUUCAAACGCCCUAAAUUCCUGAAGUCUUUUGGAAAAACAAUUUUAAAUAUACUAAAAACAGCAUCUUCUAGCGGGAGGAGGGAUCAAUUGAAAAAUCACCAUUACCGCGUUAUAUAAAACUAAAUACUUAAGCAGGAGUAGCUUCCUAGGAAGCUUCAUCGCAACCUUUUUCUUUCCUAUUUAUAUGUCAAAAAAAUCAGUUACCAUCAUCAUAUCUUAUUCUGUCUGAUUCUUUAAGUGUCAGGAUCAUAGUGAUCUUUCCUAGUAUUUUAUAAUAAAUCCAGAAAAAAAAAAAUAGUGUGCACGUACGGCGAUAGUGCUGAUCAAAGGCAAGGAUGAUGGAGGUGGAUCAUGAAGAUAAUGGAUCAGACAUUGAAGCUCAGCGGAGUUCCCCGCAGUUAAUGAAUGGUGAAUUGGGUAAAUCUAGUUUGAUCAUGAGGAAGUCGGCCAUCAUUUUCCAAUCUACUUACAAGUUCAUUGAAGCUGGAGCAAAAAUAGCGUCUCUUUCACGAGUCUCAUCGUCUUCCUCAUCUUCCAGCACAACCUUUUAUACUCCUCUUCCCAGCUUUAAACAUGGAGUAUGUAUAUAUAAUUUAAAAACAUAUAUAUGUAUAUAGUUUAAGUUAUAUUGAUGAUAUUAAUUAUAUAUAUAUGCUCUAUGUCUAAUCAGGAUGCGGAAGGUGGUGGAGGUGAAAUCCAGGUUGUUGAAAUUGUGGCUGAUGAUAAUACUGUACAAUCAAACAAUGAGAUUGAGCUUCAGCCUGAUGAUCAGAGUACUCAUCAGCAAUGCUUAAAAAUUAGUGAAGAGAUUGUGAAGGAGAAAAAGUUGGAUUGGAGUGAUGCUCAUGAUGUUGACAAGGGAAUUCAUGUUGCAGACAAUUCUGGUCGUUACAUGCUGAUCUAUGCCCAGUUCAUGAUCCGACAACUGAUAUGUAAGGAACCAACUAUUUUGCUCCUUGCAAUUGCUGCAAUAUUGUCGUUUAUCUUUGGAAUCAAAGAAGAAGGUGUGCAUAAUGGUUGGUUUGAAGGAGCACUUCUGGUUGUGAUUAUAUUUGUGAUUGUUUCGUUUAAGCUAGCACGUAAUUGGUACAAAAGACACAUUUGGAAUAAGCAAAAUGAGAACAGAGCAAGGAAGGACCAGCCGUUUAUUUCUGAAACGGACUCCAGUUUUUGUGCCGACUUUGACAAGUUGAACAAUUACAUACAUAUUAGUGGGCUGUCCAUUGGCAUUUUGAUCACUGUGGUGCUGUUCAUUCGCUUUAAAUUGGGCUAUAAAGAUGAUGAGAACGGAUAUAGAUUGGAAACCAAGGAAGAACCAACUGAAAUUGCACGGAUAAUGAAUGCCGUGAAGAAGGUUUUGACAGAAUCAAAGGGAGCAGUGAGAGUUAUGAUAACUUCUCUUGGUAUCACACUGGUGGGGAUUACUGAAGGAGUACCAUUUCUUAUUUCAAUUGCAAGGGCAUACUGGUAUCCAAUUUUUGAUGUUAAGAUGGAACCAGUCAACACCAUCUGUAUAGAAAAAAUUAGAUGGUUGAAAGUUACCCAGUUUCUUCUUGACAAAAAAGAUGUUACCAAGAUGUUAGCUGGUGGAAAGAGUUGAAAGUUACCCAGUUUCUUCUUGACAAAAAAGAUGUUACCAAGAUACCGCCACAUGUCUACAGUGUUCUCUCUGAUGGAAUUGGUGUGUCCCCUCUGACUUCUCAAACAGCCUACCACAGAGUAGAAGAAGCAAUACUCUGUUGGGCAGAAAAGAACACGGGUAUGCAGAGAGACACUUUGGAUAAGCAGUUCACCAUAGUGAAGAACAACGAUGAUGAGAUGAAUCCUUUUGAAGGACCUUGUAAAGUAGUCAUAGAGAAAAAUGGAGAUAAUGGGAAAGAGUACUAUUCAUAUUUCAAGGGUCCUACUGAUUCAAUAUUGCCAAUGUGUUCAAGUUACUAUGACUUGACGGGUCAAGUGCAGGAUUUGGAUGACGAAACAAAGAGUGACAUUGUUCAAACUAACAACAACAACAACAUGAACGUAGUUGCAUUUGCCUUCAAACACAGUCAGGACGUUGUUGAACUUGAUGAAAAUGGCCUAACAUUCAUUGGUAUGUUUGUCUUAGAAUAUACUUUCAAUCUAGACAACACGAGGAAAGCAAUUGCGAUUCUGAAAGAAGGCGGAGUGAAGAUGAUAUUUGCCUCAGAAGAAGAUGUUGAAGUGCUUCGUACCAUUGUUGAUGAAACAGGAUUGCUCAACUCACAUGAAGCUCUAGUAGUUAGGGGUGAAGAUGCUACAAAGGAAAAUGUUGAUAAAAUGUGCAUUAUGGGAAAUUCCUCUCCCGCAUGCAUGCUUCUUUUAAUAGAGCAAUUGAAGAAAAGAGGAGAAGUUGUGGCUGUGGUAGGAGAACAAGCAUCUGAAAGUAAUGUGGUUCUUGAAGCAGCUCAUUUUGGCCUGCCUGUGGUGACUAACUGGCCUGAAACUAUAACUUAUGUGAUUAACAGCAUCAAGGGAGGAAGAAUUGUUGUGAGUAUAUGAGGCAGUUCAUCCAAGUUGAGAUAAUCUUUGCAAUCAGUAGCUUAUUAAUAAACUUCAUACUGGUUAUAUUAGACGGAGAUGGUCCGUUAACAGUCAUUCAGUUGGUAUGGGUUAACCUUCUUGUAAAAUUUAUUGGAGGGCCAGCUUUGCUAAUUACUCAGCAGGCCACAAGACAACUAAGGGAUGAGCUUUCUAUCAGACCAAGAAAACUGCCAAUUACCAAGUGCAUGUUGAGAAACAUACUUCUUCAAGUUUCUUAUCAGACUGGUAUUUUUGUAUUCCUUCAACACAGAGGAAGUGCAAUACUGGGGAUCACUCCAAAAGUUAACAGAUCUAUAGUCUUUAACGGGUUCGCUCUGUGCCAGCUUUUUAACAUAUUCAGUGCAAGGGAUUUGGAGCAGAGGAAUUAUUUCAAAGGUCUCGGUCAAAAUUACUUGUUUUGGGCAUUGUCUGGGCUCUAUCUUGUGUUGCAGUUUGGAUUCAUUGAAUUAGAGGCUUUCUUGUUUAGCAACACGGCACGACUGAAUUGGAAGCAAUGGGCUGAAUCCAUUUUAAUUGGAGUUGUUACAUGGUUGCUUGAUGUGAUAGUAAAAUGGGCAUCACAACACAUAAAGAUAGACACAUAUUGUGAUUGUGGAGUUCUUCACCUAGCUAGAAACUGGUUACAGUGUUGGUUUAUGAGGAUCAAUUGCUGUUACUGUGGACCAAGAAGUACACCAAAUCCAACUCUUGCUUCCUUGGAUUCUUCAAGAUACACUAGCGGAAAGGUAUUAUAAAAAUUUGUCCAUACAGCCUAAUUACAGUACAGUUCAAUCAACAGUCUUUCCUAAAAUUUUGGAUUCAAGUUGUAGUUGUUGUUCGUUUGCAGGGCUGGAUAACAAGUAUUACACGUCGUGUUAAACCAACCAAGCAUAGAGCUAAUACUUUGAUGGAUUAAUCAUAUGUUUCAGUAGCUUCAAUUUUUAGUACAUAGUUUCCUCUGUUUUCUAUAGAAGGUUAGAUAUAGUUGGAGCAACACUAAAGUUGUCUCAAUGUGACCGGUAGGUUAUGGGUUAGAGCAGUUAUGAAAUCAGCCUUUGAUGCUUGUAUGAGGGUAGGUUGCCUACAUCACACCCUUCAAGGGUCUCAGGCCUACGUCAAUGAGGGAUGAUUAGUGCACUAGGCUAUCCUUUUUAGUUAAUUUAUGUUAAUUAAUUUCAUCAAGUUUUUCGGUUCUUGUUCUUGUUCCUCUUCACUUUUAACUAAAUUCAAGAAUGUAAACUUAUUAUAUAGUACUACUCCCUCAAUCCCUUUGUAUGUCACAUUUUUAAUUUUUUACUUUGUAUUUGUAUUAAAAAAUGAAGUAACUUUAUCCUUAUUUAAUGUUUUCUUAAAUCAACUCUAUAAUAAAUGAUGAAUACAUUUUCAAGAUUAAUUAACUAUUCCAUCAAGGGUAUAAUAGGAAAAAUAUGAUAAAUUUAUGCAUAAAUUUUAUAAAAUGACAAGUAUUGUGGUCCAGCUAUUUAUAGAAAGGAAUGUCAUAUAAAAAUGGACGGAGGGAGUAAUAUACGUAGAAAGCAAGAAUUUUAUGAAUUUCAAACACAGCGAAGUUUGCUCAAAAUCAUAAAGCAAACUAGUGAGUACACAUUCUACUAAUUAAUUGGCUUGUUCAAGAAGAUAAAUAUUUCCAAUAUCAUAUAGUAUAUGCAAAAAUAUAACUUAAUUACCUCGAUCUUGUUUUUCUCAAACUUGGUGAAAUGUAAUAGACAAAGCUCUUGUUGAGGAGAAACUGACAAGCCGGGAAUGCCAUUGGAAGAGACUUUUCUUCAGCGAAGUCAACUGCCUGUGGUCGUUUCUUUACUAUAUAAAAAAUAAAAAACAAACCUCACAAAUAUCCUAACAUGGAUUUUAUAAGAAUAUUUUUCUUUAAUUUUGGACACAUUUGUCUUUUAUCAAACGUGUCUUCAAUAAAUAUUCAUGUGUGAGUAGGUAAUGUAGAAAUGUUACUUUAUCUAUUUCAAUUUAUGUUACUAAAAACUUUUUAGUUAGUUCUGAAAAUAAUAAUAGUUACUUUUUUUAUAGAUAUUUUGAAAUAAUUUAACUUCUAAAUUUUUUUUUUAAAAAAGAGAGAGAAUAAUUUAUAAUCAUAGAAAUAUGUAUGAUUAACUUUAAAAGUCAUUUGAAAUUCAUUUGUGAGUAGAUAAUCUUGAAAAGGUUACCAUAAGGAAUUUGUUACUCCAUCUAUUACAAUUUAUUAAUGUUACAAUUUUUUUAAGCUAGACCUGAAAAUAAUAAUAGUAUUGAUACAAAAAUUUAAGUUGAAUGAUUUUAUAGAUAUAAAAGCUUAAUUGAGUGGGUUUUUUGAUACAAAAUAAAGUUCAAUGAUUUUGCUAGACAAAUUCUUGAAGUUGAGUGAACUUUUGAGAUAUUAACUCUAGAAAACAUGUGACUACUCGUGUACAUUCAAAAUUAAUGGACAUAAAUAAGAACUAGAGCCAAGUUAAAGGAUACACUUAUAUAUUAUAUCAUUUGAUAAAAGUAAUUUUUAUUUCCGAAGUGAAAAAUAAUAUAUAAUUUUUUUUAUUUUAUUAAUUUAUAAAGUCUUCUCGAAAACAUUUUCUAACAUACCAAAAAGCAGCAUCUUCUAUAACAAAUUUUUUGUGUGUGUGUGGUGAUGGUGAGAUCAAUUUAAAAAUUGUCAAUAUUAACGCGUUAUAAAAAUUAAAGAGUGUAAGGGAAAAUUUGAAUUUGAACAAGAUGGGUGUUCACAUUCCGCAACACAAAGCUGAGGCCGGGAGUGAAUAACUAACCACUUGAGCAUUGGAGUACUGCAUGUCUAUUUGAACGGGUCACGAUUUAAUUCAUUUUCAAUUUCAGUAGUGCUGAUCAAAGCUAGGAUGAUGGAUGAAGAUAAUGGAUCAGACAUUGAAGCUCAGGGGAGUUCCCCGCUGCUAAUGAAUGGUAAUUCUACGUUGAUCAUGAGGAGGUUGGCUCUCAUUCUCCGAUCUACUUACAACUUCCAUUGAAGCUGGAGCAAGAAUACCAUCUCUUUCACGAGUCUCAUCGUCUACCUUAUCCUCCACCACAACCUUUUAUACUCCUCUUCCCUAAGUAUAUAAACAAAUGUCUUUAUCACUACUAUAUAUAUACACACACGUAGUUGUUAAUUAUACAUGCUCUCCGUCUAAUUAGGAUGCAGAAGGUGGUGAAGAUGAAAUCCAGGUUGUUGAAAUUGUGGCUGAUGAUAAUACUGUACAAUCAAACAAUGAUCACGUCGACAUUGAUCAAAGUACUCAUCAGCAAUGCCUACAAAUUAGUGAUUGUUUUGUUUAAGUUUGCACGAAAUAGGUACAAAAGACACCUUUGGAAGAAGCAAAAAGAUAACAAAGAAACGAAGAAUUACCCCCUGUUGAUUUCUGAAACGGACUCCAGCUUUUGUGCCUGUUUUGACAAGUUGAACAAUUAUAUACAUAUUAGUGGGUUGUUGAUUGGCAUUUUGAUCACUGUGGUGCUGUUCAUUCGCUUUAAAAUUGAGCCAUAAAGAUGACGAAAAUGGAUAUAGAUUAGAAACCAAGGAAGAACCAGCUGAAAUUGCACAGAAUAAUGAAUGCCGUGAAAAAGGUUUUAACAGAAUCAAAGGGAACAGUAAGAGUUUUGAUAACUUUACUUGGUGUCACACUGGUAGGGAUGACUGAAGGGGUACCAUUUCUUAUUUCAAUUACAAUGGCAUAUUGGUAUCCGAAUUUUGAUGUUAAAAUGGAAUCAGUCAGCACCCUCUGUAUAGAAAAUGUUGGCUGGUUGAAAGAGCAAAAACUGGAAGUUAGUCAGUUUUUCCUUGACAAAAUAAAUGUUACCAAGAUACCGCCAGAUGUCUGCAGUGUUCUCUCUGAUGGAAUUUGUGUGUCCACUCUGACUUCUCAAACAACUGACCAAAGAAUGGAAGAACCAAUACUCUGUUGGGCAGAGAAGAACAUGGGUAUGCAGAGAGACACUUUAGAUCAGCAGUUCAUAAUAGUGAAGGACAAUGAUAGUGAGAUGAAUCCUUUUGAAGGACCUUGUGGAGUUGUCAUAGAGAAAAAUGGAGAUAACGGGAAGGAGUACUAUUCACACUUCAAAGGACGGGCUGAUUCAAUAUUGUCAAUGUGUUCAAGUUACUAUGACAUGAAGGGAGAAGUGCAGGAUUUGGAUGAUGGAACAAAGAGUGACAUUGCUCAAACUAACAACAAGAACAAGAACGUAGUUGCAUUUGCCUUCAAACACACUCAGGACGUUGGUGAACUUGAUGAAAAUGGCCUAACAUUCAUUGGUAUGUUUGUCUUAGAAGAUAAUUUCAAUCUAGACAACAUGAGGCAAGGAAUUGAGAUUCUGAAAGAAGGUGGAGUGAAGAUGAUAUUUGCCUCGGAAGAAGAUGUUGAAGUGCUUCGUGCCAUUGGUGAUGAAACAGGAUUGCUCAACUCACAUAAUGCUCUAGUAGUUAAGCAUGAAGAUGCUACGAAGGAAAAUGUUGAGAAAAUUUGCAUUACGGGAAAUUCCUCUCCCGCACACAAGCUUCUUUUAAUAGAGCAGUUGAAGAAAAGAGGAGAAGUGGUGGCUGUGGUAGGAGAACAAGCAUUUGGAAGUAAUGUGGUUCUUGAAGCAGCUAAUUUUGGCCUGCCUGUGGUGACUAACUGGCCUGAAACUAUAACUUGUGUGAUUAACAGCAUCAAGGGAGGAAGAAUUGUUUGUGAGUAUAUGAGGCAGUUCAUUCAAGUUGAGAUAAUCUUUGCAAUCAGUAGCAUAUUAAUAAACUUCAUACUGGUUAUACUAGACGGAGAUGGCCCGUUAACAGUCAUUCAGUUGGUAUGGGUUAACCUUCUUGUAAAAUUUAUUGGAGGGCCAGCUUUGCUAAUUACUCAUCAGGCCAUAAGACAACUAAGGGAUGAGCUUUCUAUCAGACCAAGAAAACUACCAAUUACCAAGGGCAUGUUGAGAAACAUAAUUUUUCAAGCUUCUUAUCAGACUGUUAUUUUUGUAUGCCUUCCACACAGAGGAAGUGCAAUACUGGGAAUCACUGCGAAAGUUAACAUAUCUACUGUCUUUAACGGGUUUGCUCUGUGCCAGCUUUUUAACAUAUUCAGUGCAAGAGAUUUGGAGCAGAAGAAUUUUUUCAAAGGUCUUGGUUAAAAUUACUUGUUUUGGGCAUUGUCUUUGCUCUAUCUUGUGUUGCAGUUUGGAUUCAUUGAAUUAGAGGCUUUCUUGUUUAGCAACACGGCACGAUUGAAUUGGAAGCAAUGGGCUGAAUCCAUUUUAAUUGGAGCUGUUACAUGGUUGCUUGAUGUGAUAGUAAAAUGGGCAUCACAAUACAUAAAGAUAGACACAUAUUGUGAUUGUGGAGUUCUUCACCUAGCUAGAAACUGGUUCCAGUAUUGGUUUAUGAGGAUCAAUUGCUGUUACUGUGGACCAAGAAGUACACCAAAUCCAACUCUUGCUUCCUUGGAUUCUUCAAGAUCCACUAGCGGAAACGUAUUAUAAAAAUUUGUCCAUACAGCCUAAUUAUAGUACAGUUCAAACAAAAGUUUUUCCUAAAAUUUUGGAUUCAAGUUGUAGCUGUUGUUCUUUUGCAGGGCUGGCUAACAAAUAUCACACGUCGUGUUAAACCAACCAAGCAUAGAGCUAAUACUUUGAUGGAUUAAUCAUAUGUUUCAGUAGCUUCAAUUUUGAGUACAUAUUUUCCACUGUUUUCUAUUAGAUACACUUGGACCAACAAUAAAGUUGUUUCCACGCGACUGGUAGGUUAUGAGUUAGAGAUGUACUGGAAUCAGCCUCUGAUGCUUGUAUCAGGUAGGAUGCCUACAUCAUACCCUUCAAAGGCAUUGACCCUUCCCGGACCUACGUCAAUGAGGGAUGAUUAGUGCAGUAGGCUGUCCUUUUUAGUUAAUUUAUGUGAAUUAAUUUCAUCAAGUUUUUUGGUUCUUGUUCUUGUUCUUCUUUUUACUUUUAAUUUAAAUUCAAGAAUGCAAACUUAUUACUAUAUAGUACUAAUAUACAUAGAAAGCAAGAGUUUCAUGAAUUUCUAACACACAGAAGUUUGCUCAAAAUCAUAAAGCAAACUAGUGAGUACACAUUCUACUAAUUGGCUCGUACAAGAAGAUAAAUAUUUCCAAUAUCAUAAUUCAUAUAUAUGCAAAAAUAUAACUUAAUUACCUCGAUCUUAUUUUUCUCAAACUUGGUGUAAUGUAAUAGACAAAGCUCUUGUUGAGGAGAAAUUGACAAACCAGCAAUGCCAUUGGAAGAGAGUUUUCUUCAGCAAAGUCAACUGCCAGUGGUCGUUUCUUUACUAUAUAAAAAUAUAAAACAAAAUAUAUGGUCCUCACAAAUAUACCAACAUGGAUUUUAUAAGAAUAUUUUUCUUUAAUUUUGGACACAUUUGUCUUUUAUCAAACGUGUCUUCAAUAAAUAUUCAUGCGUGAGUAGGUAAUGUAGAAGAUGUUACUUUAUCUAUUUCAAUUUAUGUUACAAAAACUUUUUUAGUUAGUUCUGAAAAUAAUAAUAGUACUUUUUUUAUAGAUAUUUUGAAAUAAUUUAACUUUUAAAAUUUUUUUUUAAAAAAGAGAGAGAAUAAUUUAUAAUCAUAGAAAUAUGUAUGAUUAACUUUAAGAUCUUAAGUUUAAAAGUCAUUUGAAAUUCAUUUGUGAGUAGAUAGUCUUGAAAAGGUUACCAUAAGGAAUUUGUUACUCCAUCUAUUACAAUUUAUUGAUGUUACAAAUUUUUUUAGCUAGUCCUGAAAAUAAUUAUAGUAUUCCUCCAUUUCAAUUUAUGUGACACAUUUUGGAUUUCGAGAUUCAAACAAGUCUAUCUUUGAUCGUAAAAUUUUCUUAUAUCUUUUAAAUAUUUCGAAUUGUCAAUUAUUGGACUUAUAGUACUUUUUACGUAACUUAUAAAUAUAUAAAUUUCAUUUUAAAAAAGUGAAGAUUUCAUGAGCAAAUUAUUGGUCAAACUUAAAACUAGUUGACUUUCAAAAAACGAAAUGUGUCACAGAGGGAGUACUUUUUCUAUAGAUAUUUUAAGAUAAUUUAACUUAUAAAAAUUAUGUUCUAAGAAAGUAAAAUAAUAAGUAAUUUAUAAUCAUAGAGAAAUUUGACUGUAAAAUUUUUGAAUUUUUUAAAAUUUGAAAAAUAUCAAAAAAAUAUUUUCACUCCAAAUUACUUAUAAAAAUUCAAAAGCAACUUCAAUUUGUAUUCAUGACCACACACUUUUGAGGAGUGUUUAACCAUGAAAAUAGUGAGUAUUUGAUUAUUAUUAUUUUUAUAUUAAUGUGUUCUUUAACUUGAUCUCAGUUUGCAUCUAUGUUCUCCAACUUCUGGUGUGUAUAAGUAGACACUUAAACUAGUAUAAAGUCAAACAAGUAGACGCAAGUGUCCUACAUGACAUAAUACAUUCAAUUUUAAUUCAAUUUGCUCAUUUAACACUGAGAAAAUUAAGUAAUACAAAUAGUUUAAUGAAAGUUGUAAUAUAUUAUAAGCCUAUACACCAACAAACCUUCCCACAGUAGCCUAUUUGAGGAAAUUUUUUAUGGUGGAGGCAUAUCAUAUUGUCACAUUUGUAUGAGGAAAUUUUUUAAUUGAAAAAUUUGUCUCACUCUAUUAUAACUUUUUUCUCUUCUCACUACUCCACCUUCACCUUCUUCCAUUUGCCCCUCGCGCUAACAUAAAAUACUUUUUUAUUUUUUAAAUGUAAUUUACAUAUAUUUCAUUGAGUAAAUUACAAUAAUUUAAUGACAAAAUCAAGUCACAGUGAAAACUAGUUAAUGUCCUUGAAAUGUAUGACAAAAUCAAGGCACAUAGUCAAAAGUAGUACUACUAUGCUUAAAUUAAUAUUUUGUUCUUUUUUCUCUCUAACAUCACUUAUCCAAUCCCUUUCUCUUAUGUAUUUUGUUUCUCCUUUUUUUCAUAAACUUGAUUUUCAUUUGUUAAAAAUCAGAUAGAGAUAAAUACAUUAAUACUAAUUCAAAUAACUAAUAAACAUGUUUAAAAAAGAAUUAAUCAAAAAGUAUGUUCUUGACCUCGUAUAAAUUUGACUGUAUCAUUUGUAGAGUAAAAUAAUGGAGUGAGACCCACUCCAUUAUGCAAUGAAAUUAUGUGUUAAUAAAUUAAAAUUAUUGGAUGUUAGCUGGAGGUGUAAAUGGGAGAAGGUGAGGGUUGAAGAGUAACAAGAUAAAAUGACAAGUUGUAACUGAGUAAGAGCCUGUUUGGCAUUAUUGCUAAAAGCGACUUAUUUUUAGAAGCGUUUUUUAAAAAUAGCUUUUCAGAAAAAUGUUUUUCAAAAAAAGCAAUCUGUGUUUGAAAAAUUCAUUUAAAAGUGUUUUUGAUAAACAAUUUGUGUUUGAAGAGUAAGAAGAUAAAAUGAAGUAACGGAGUAAGACCCACAAUAUAUAUUUUCUCAAUUAAAGAAAUCGCUCACAGCUGUAACUUUUUUUUUUUUUGAGAAUUUACAGCACUAGACAAAGUGUCUAAUAACUUUAAGAAAGGGGUUAGGCCUUUACCACCAUAAUAUUUUUUUCCUCUAGUUGUGUAUGUCGGAAUUAACAAGCAUUUCACUUACUAGAAAAUUUAGCACAAUCUUCAAUCGUUAGUCACAAAGUAACGUCGACAUAUUCAAGUUAUAUUAUUAUAAUUAAAGUAAUGUUAAUUGUUUCUUGUUCAAAUUCUAACAUGUGAAAUAAAUAGGUUGAUGCCUGUUAUAGUUGUCAUCCUCUGUUUGAAGGACUAGAAUAUUAAUUCAAAAUGACUUAAUUUCUGUAAGAUAAUCUUAAGUAUGACCUUUGUUGUAGAUAGUGCUUGGAAGUUGCCUUUGAUUUUCCCCUCUAUGUAACUUGUAUUAGAGAUUCUAUUUCAAGUAUGACAGCCGUACUUAUCACAAAAAUAAGUGUUUUUUUAUUUUAUACUAAAUCCCCAAAAAAUUAGUGUGCUUGUACUGCGACACUAAGUGUAGAAUAUAGCUAGAAUGAUGAAUGAAGAUAAUGGAUCAGACAUUGAAGCUCAGGGGAGUUCGCCGCUGCUAAUGAAUGGUAAUUCUACGUUGAUCAUGAGGAGGUUGGCGCUCUUUCUCCAAUCUACUUACAAGUUCAUUGAAGCUGGAGCAAGAAUACCAUCUCUUUCUCGAGUCUCAUCCUCCACCACAACCUUUUAUACUCCUCUUCCCAGCUUUAAUCUUAAACAUGGAGUAAGUAUAUAAACAAAUGUCUUUAUGGCUAAUAUAUAUACACACAUAGUUAUUAAUUAUAUAUGCUCUCUGUCUAAUUAGGAUGCGGAAUGUGGUGACGAUGAAAUCCAGGUUGUUGAAAUUGUGGCUGAUGAUAAUACUGUACAAUCAAACAAUGAUCACAUCGACAUUGAUCAAAGUACUCAUCAGCAAUGCCUACAAAUUAGUGAAGAGAUUGUGAAGGAGAAGAAGUUGGAUUGGAGUGAUAUUCAUGAUGUUGACAAGGGAAUUCAUGUUGGAGACAAUUCUGGUCGUCACAUGCUGAUCUUCACAGGGUACAUCAUCCGACAAUUGGCAUGCAAGGAACCGACUAUUUUUCUCCUUGCAAUUGCUGCAAUAUUGUCGUUUGCCUUUGGAAUCAAAGAAGAAGGUGUGCAUAAUGGUUGGUUUGAAGGAGCACUUCUGGUUGUGAUUAUACUUGUGAUUGUUUCGUUUAAGUUUGUACGAAAUUGGUACAAAAGACACCUUUGGAAGAAGCAAAAAGAUAACAAAGAAACGAAGAAUUACCCCCUGUUCAUUUCUGAAACGGACCCCAGCUUUUGUGCCUGUUUUGACAAGUUGAACAAUUAUAUACAUAUUAGUGGGUUGUUGAUUGGCAUUUUGAUCACUGUGGUGCUGUUCAUUCGCUUUAAAUUGGGCCAUAAGGAUGACGAAAAUGGAUAUAGAUUAGAAACCAAGGAAGAACCAGCUGAAAUUGCACAGAAUAAUGAAUGCCGUGAAAAAGGUUUUAACAGAAUCAAAGGGAACAGUAAGAGUUCUGAUAACUUUACUUGGUGUCACACUGGUAGGGAUGACUGAAGGGGUACCAUUUCUUAUUUCAAUUACAAUGGCAUAUUGGUAUCCGAAUUUUGAUGUUAAAAUGGAAUCAGUCAGCACCCUAUGUAUAGAAAAUGUUGGCUGGUUGAAAGAGCAAAAACUGGAAGUUAGUCAGUUUUUUCUUGGCAAAAAAAAUGUUACCAAGAUACCGCCAGAUGUCUGCAGUGUUCUCUCAGAUGGAAUUUGUGUGUCCACUCUGACUUCUCAAACAACCGGCCAAAGAAUGGAAGAACCAAUACUCUGUUGGGCAGAGAAGAACAUGGGUAUGCAGAGAGACACUUUAGAUCAGCAGUUCAUAAUAGUGAAGGACAAUGAUAGUGAGAUGAAUCCUUUUGAAGGACCUUGUGGAGUUGUCAUAGAGAAAAAUGGAGAUAACGGGAAGGAGUACUAUUCACACUUCAAAGGACGGGCUGAUUCAAUAUUGUCAAUGUGUUCAAGUUACUAUGACAUGAAGGGAGAAGUGCAGGAUUUGGAUGACGAAACAAAGAGUGAAUUUGCUCAAGCUAACAACAACAAUGUGAACGUAGUUGCAUUUGCCUGCAAACGUACACAGGUUGUUGAACUUGAUGAAAAUGGCCUAACAUUCAUUGGUAUGUUUGUCUUAGAAGAUAAUUUCAAUCUAGACAACAUGAGGCAAGGAAUUGAGAUUCUGAAAGAAGGUGGAGUGAAGAUGAUAUUUGCCUCGGAAGAAGAUGUUGAAGUGCUUCGUGCCAUUGGUGAUGAAACAGGAUUGCUCAACUCACAUGAUGCUCUAGUAGUUAGGGGUGCAGAUGCUACGAAGGAAAAUGUUGAGAAAAUUUGCAUUAUGGGAAAUUCCUCUCCCACACACAAGCUUCUUUUAAUAGAGGAGUUGAAGAAAAGAGAAGUGGUGGCUGUGGUAGGAGAACAAGCAUCUGAAAGUAAUGUGGUUCUUGAAGCAGCUCAUUUUGGCCUGCCUGUGGUGACUAACUGGCCUGAAACUAUAAAUUAUGUGAUUAACAGCAUCAGGGGAGGAAGAAUUGUUUGUGAGAAUCUGAGGCAAUUCAUCCAAGUUGAGGUAAUCCUGGCAAUCAGUAGCUUAUCAAUAAACUUCAUACUGGUUAUAUUAGACGGAGAUGCCCCGUUAACAUUCAUUCAGUUGGUAUGGGUUAACCUUCUUGUUACAUUUAUUGGAGGGCCAGCUUUGCUAAUUACUCAACAGGCCACAAGAGAACUAAGGGAUAAGCUUUCUAUCAGACCAAGAAAACUGCCAAUUACCAAGGGCAUGUUGAGAAACAUACUUCUUCAAGUUUCUUAUCAGACUGGUAUUUUUGUAUUCCUUCAACACAGAGGAAGUGCAAUACUGGGCAUCACUCCAAAAGUUAACAGAUCUAUAGUCUUUAACGGGUUCGCUCUGUGCCAGCUUUUUAACAUAUUCAGUGCAAGGGGAUUUGGAGCAGAGGAAUUAUUUCAAAGGUCUCGGUCAAAAUUACUUGUUUUGGGCAUUGUCUGGGCUCUAUCUUGUGUUGCAGUUUGGAUUCAUUGAAUUAGAGGCUUUCUUGUUUAGCAACACGGCACGACUGAAUUGGAAGCAAUGGGCUGAAUCCAUUUUAAUUGGAGCUGUCACAUGGUUGCUUGAUGUGAUAGUAAAAUGGGCAUCACAAUACAUAAAGAUGGUCAAAUAUUGUGACCCUGGAGUUCUUCACCUAGGUAGAAACUGGUUACAGGAUUGGUUUGCCAGAGUCAAUUGCUGGGACAGUGGACAAAGUAGCACACCAAAUCCAACUCUUGCUUCUUUGGAUUCUCCAAGAUCCUCUAGUGGAAAGGUACUAUACAAAUUUAUCCAUACUGCCUAAUUACAGAAAAUUCAAAGAGUCUUUUCCUUUUAUUCCUAAAACAAUUUGGAUUCAAGUUGUAGUUGUUCUUUUGCAGGGCUGGAUAACAAAUAUAACACGUCGUGUUAAACCAACCAAGGAUAGAACUAAUACUUUGAUGGAUUAAUCAUAUGUUGCAGUAGCUUUAAUUUUUAGUAUAAAUUUUUCACUGUUUUAUUUAUAGGGAUUAGAUACACCUGCAACAACAGUAAAGUUGUCUCCAUGUGACCUAUAGGUUACGGGUUCGAACCAUACUGGAAUCAGCGGACCUAGUCAAUGCAGGAUGAUUAAGGCACUAGGCUACCCUUUUUAGUCUGUAUGGGCUAGUUAAUUUAUGUUAAUUCAUUUCGUCAAGUUUUUGGUUUCUCGUAUGCAUUGGAUGGAGAUAAAAAAAAAAGGUUUGUUCUUGUUCUCUCGUUCUUCUUCUUUUCACUUUUAACUAAAUUCAAGAAUGCAAACUUACUAUAUAGUACUAAUAUAUACAAAAAGCAAGAUUUUUAUGAAUUUCAAACACAUGGAAAUUUGCUCAAAAUCAUAAAGGAAGCUAGUCAGUACACAUGAUUCUACCAAUUGGCUCGUGCAAGAAGAUAAAUAAUUAAAUAUCAUAUAAUAUGCAAAAAUAUAACUUAAUUACCUCGAUGCAUAUUUUCUUCAACUUGCUGUAAUGUAUUAGACAGAGCUCUUGUUGAGGAGAAACUGACAAUCCAGCAAUGCCUCUUUCUUUGUUGUAUUUUCAUCCGCUAAACUUAGUAGAAAAUGCACGAUGACUCGCAAAAAUAUUUUACAGAAAUAAUUAGUACAAAUAAUUAACAUCUAGAAGGUUGGAACAACAAAAAUGUACUUGGACAUUAAAAAAUAAUAAUUCUAAAAUGCAAUGAAACAAUUAACAUCUAGGUUUGAAGGUAGAAUUGUUCAAACUUCACCCAUAUAUCCCCAAUUUUUAACUCCAAUCACACGUAUGAAUAUGUGCGCGUGUUUUUGUUGUUAGUUGUAUUUACUAAUUACUAUGUAGGGAAAAAUGUUUGAAAUAUAUUCAAACUUUGACCGAAAUUGCUGUAAUAAUAUCGAACUUUGGAAAGGAUCGUUUAUCCCUGCACUAUUUAAUAGUGUAUUUUAAAGGUAUAUAUGUGCUCAUGUGAACAUCAUAAAUAUUGCAUAAUUAUAAAUAGUAACGUGUCCACGUGGGCACAUAUAUACCUUUAAAAUACAAUAUUAAAUAGUGUAGGAGGGUAAAAGGUCCUCCAUAAGGUUUGGUAUCAUAACAACAAUUUCGGCCAAAGUUAAAGUAUUUUUCAGACCCUUUUCCCUACUAGAUAUGUAUAUGAGGGCAAGAUCAAUUGAUAUAUGUAUGUAUACCCUAUUGUUACAUGUAAGUCUACCAUUAUUGAUCGAGUCCACUCAAUGAAAUGAAAAGAAUUUUUAAAUAAUUUUUUAUUUCUACCCUUAAUAUUAAUUAACUGCAUAAAAUAAUAGUAGUCAAAUUUAAUAACGAUCAUAAAAAUAAUAUUAAACUUUGUGAUAAAUUCAUAAAAAUAUUAUUCUAUUUAUAAUAUUAAUGAACUUAAAGAAAAUUUUUAUAAAUAGUUAGGUUAAAAAAUAAAUUAUAUAUAAAAGAGGUAUUACAUAUAUGUGAUAUAACAAGGGUAAAAAGAAUAAUGCAUAGAGUAUAGGGGGAGUUUGAUGAUUGUUUAAAAUUGAGGAAAAGUUUGAUUUUUAAAGCAAAGUUGGAGGGUGAAUAUAUAUAUUUUUUUUCAAAUACUGGUGGACAAAAAUGUGUGUGUGGGGUGAAGUGGUGAUGGUGGGAUCAAAUGAAAAAUUGUGAAUACCGCGUUAUAAAAACGAACCAGCGUUGGGAAAUUGUUUUGGACAAAAUGAGUAUUAACAUUUCGCGACACAAAGCUGAGAAAAACUAAACACUUGAUUAGCAUAAUUACCUAGGAGAAAUUUCUAGGAAGCUGCAUUUCACCACUUGUUUAGAAAGUAGAAAUGAGAAAAUAAGUUCCACAAUGUAGUUUGACGAACUGAGUAAUACAAACCUUCGUCAAAAAAGCACCUAUAAUUUAACAAGCAUUUCACUUGCUAAAAAAAUUAGCAAAGAUUCAAUCGUUAAUCAUAAAGUAGCGUCGACAGAUUCAGAUAGAUUAUAGUAUAAUAAAAACAAUAUUAAUUGUUUCUGGUUCACGUUUUAACAUUUGAAAUUUGUAACUUUCAAAUAAAUUAUAGGUUUGCAUAUUAUACUUUUAACUAUAUAUAUUAUUAUUGUCGUCUUGAAGUUUGAAGGACCGAGAAUAUUAAUUCAAAUUGACUUAAGUCAUUUAUAAGGGAUGCAUGACAUUGUUGGUGAUGUCAUGCCUUAAGAAAAAAACGUUGAUGGAACAGCGCAGGGUGGUGCUAGGAAGCUCCCUUUCCUCCCCUCUCUCUAUAUUUUUACGAUCCUUUUCAAUGAUCAUACUAGCUAAUCACAACAAAGUGCUUUCUUAUUUUAUACUAGCUAGAUCUUAAAAAAGAAUUAGUAGUGUGCACGUACGGCGACAGUACUAGCUAGUAGUGAUCGAAGGUCAGAUAAGUAUAAUAUACAGCUAGCUAGGAUGAUGGAGGUGGAUCAUGAAGAUAAUGGAACAGACAUUGAAGCUCAGCGGAGUUCUCCGUUGUCAAUGAAUGGUACUGAAUUAAGUAAUUCUAGUUUGAUCAUCAUGAGGAGGUUGGCGUUCAUUUUCCUAUCUAUUUACAAGUUCAUUGAAGCUGGAGCAAGCAUAGCAUCAUCUCUUUCACCAGUGUCAUCGUCGUCCUCAACAUCCAACACAACCUUUUAUACUCCUCAUACCAGCUUGAAUCUUGAACAUGGAGUAUGUAUAUCAUCACAACCUUUCAAUUUCAUUUGUUUUAGGAGUAUUGACUCCAUAUUUUACAUUUUUAAGUUAGACUUGAUAAAUUAUAUAAUUUUAUAUUUAUAGUAUUAUUCUUUUUAUCAAACAUGCAUUUUAUGAAAUUAUGUACUUUUUGUUUUUAUGAUUAGUAUAAUUAAAAUAUACUAAAUUGAAAAAUACAAAUCAAUUAGUUUUUAUAAUAUUAGUCAAGAACAUAUGUUUAUUAAUUAAUAUAUUUUCAAAAGACAAUAUAUAUCUUAAAUAUUCAAUUUAAUAUCAUUUAUAAAGGGCAUUAUUAGUCUAAUAUAAAUUUUAAUUUUAAUUUUUAAAAUUCAAUAUAACCUUAUGAUUACACUUGUGCAAUAAAACAUUACACUUGUAAUUAGGGGUGUGCAUUCGGUUUUACAGUUUGGAUUUGUACUAUUUGGUUUGGAUUUUUCGGUUUUUGAUUUUGAAGAAGUGUAACCCAAUCCGAAUCAAAAUAAAUUUGGUUUGGUUUGGUAUUUUUCCUUUUGGUUUGAGUUUUUUCGGUUCGAUUAAUCGGUUAUGUCGAUAAUUAGAAACAUAACAAAGUUAUAUUUGUAAUUUGAAUAUAUAUAGUUUUUUUGGUUUCUUUUUUCUAAAUCUGAAACCAAACCAAAAAAACAAACAAAAUAAAUCAUAGAUUCAAAACCGAAUCAGAAAUCCAAAAAAUCAAUCCAAAUUAGAAUUCGAUUUGAUUUGGUUUGAUUUUUCUGUUUAAUUCAAAAUAGUGCAUACCCCUACUUGUAAUUACACUGUGGCAAACAAACAAAUCAGCGUAAUUACUAGAUUGUGUAAUUUACUAGGCUGGUAAUUACUACAAUAAUAAUUACCCCAAUUCCAAUCACUCAGUGGCUUUCCAAACAUACUAUUACAUAUUUCUUAACAUCUAGUAUUUAGAACAUUAUCUUUUUCCUAUUCCAACUAUAUCAUUGAUUUGUCCCUCUAAGUUUUUAUUGUUACAAGAGUUACAUUUAUGGCAUAGUCUUUAUCCAUAAUAUUAUAAUCGAUUAGAUAAUUAACUGUCACUUGUAAUUUAUAGAUGAAUACAGUCACUUUAUAACUCUUUCGUUUAAAAUUAAGUUAGGAGGUGAAAAUGUUGUGAAAAUAUUUUAAUUACUCUAUAUUUAACUUAUUAGAUAUUUAUAACAUUUUUAAUUAUGAUAGGGGUAAAAUGGUAUUUCAACUUUACUUUUGUGGCUUCGUGUUAAAUAAUAACAAAAGUCUCACAUUGAUGGUUAAUGAGAUUAGUGAUCUCUUUAUAAGCUUGGUCAAUCAUCCUCUCUUUAAUCUAGCUUUUAGGGUGUGAGUAAAGUCCAAGACCUAAUUUUCACACUUCUCACUCUUAUAGUAUGACUAGUAUUUGGGCACGUGCGGUGCGCGUAUAUCCCUUACCAGUGAGCAUAAGUAUUUUUCAAAAUUGCAUCAAUAUGAUAAAUAUAUUCAAAAAUCAAUGACAUCCAAUGUCUAAAAUGUCCAACUUUGAAGAUUCUUAAUUAGUACUAAAUUGAUUUUAAUUUGAAUUUAUGAGUUAAAAUUUGAUAUGAAUUUGUCAAAUUUUAGUAGUUUUUAUAUAGAUAUUAUGUUUUGAUUUAAAAAAUAAUUAAGUUAAUUAAAUCCAUAAAUUAUAGGCUUAAUAUGCUCAUAUCAUCAAUUAACCGUUGUCCUACCUCCAAAAUCAAUAUUACAUUUCUAAACGAAAUUCAUUUGAUGCGACUCAACGCAAUUAUAAUAUUUUUUGUAGUUAGAAAAGGAAUUCAACAUUUCAUUUAUAUUUUGUCGACUGUAUUGUUAACAUUGUAAUUGAGAAACAAAAAGACAUGUAUUGUUUUAUGUUGUCAAAAAAAAGAAGAAACAAAAAGACAUGAUAAAAAAUAAUAUUAUGACAUGUGAGUGAUAAGUAAUAUAAAUUCUGAAGGAGAAAGGGAGGGAUAAACUAUGGCUCAAAUAACUAAAAUAAUCAACGAAAAUUAAAACAAAGAAAGUUAAUAUAAUUUCGUGAGAAAAAUAACCAAAAGAUGAUAUUGUAUUCAUUCCUUUCUUUCUUAACAUGGGUUGUUUAUCCUCCCUCUUCUUUCUUUUUGGAUGAAAGCUCCAUUAAAAAAAUUAAAUUCAGACAAAGAAAGUGAAGUCAAAUAGGCAAUGAAUAUCAAAUCACUCAACAUGCCAUAGCUCAUAAAUACAUUUUUUACUUUUAUUGGGUUAUGACGAUUAAUAUCAAAAUUCAAUACUUAAUUAGCUUUACACACAAAUAAAUCACACGAAUCUGCAUAUGAAAAUUCAAUAAACUUGACCUACUAUUGACAAAAUAAAAAUAAAAAAGAAAAGAAAAACCAAACAAAGAAUAUUGUGCUAACAAAAAAAUUAUGUUAGAAGGAAAUGUCACUUACCCCAUUUGUAUCGACACAACUCAAAGUACAGUUCUAUGCGAUUGACACAGAAGCAUCUCAUCAAUUGAUUUUUUCUGCAACAAAAAAAAUCAUCUCAUACGCUAUUGACACAAAAUUAAAAAUUUUAUUUUAUAUCAGAGAUCAAAAUCUUAAACAUCAAUCAAACAACAUAAACUAUAUGAUAAGUAAGAAGUAAGAAACAAAAUAAAAAAUAACUUAAAAGAACAUACACAUGAAUGGAGCACCGGAAAGGACAAUGUUCCUAUGCUCUCUAUCAAACUCAUAAAACAAAAUGUAACGAACAAGACGAUAUACAUAUGUGAAAUGAAAAGACAAGGAUCAUAGUGGAGAAUGUAAAGAGACAAGAGUUUCUUUAGAAGAUUAUUAAUGAAUAAUUGUCUUUUAAUGUAUCUAUUUUAUGUAAGAAUAUAUAUUUUAAGUACAAUAUAAUAUGUGAUAUGAUUACUAUUUAAUAUUUUAUAACAUUUUUAUUUAAUAUAGGGGCAAAAUGGUAAUCCAACAUUGUAUUUGAUGCUUCCCACUUUUAAUAAUAUAUGAUAUGAUAUGAUAUGAUAAUAAUAUAUAUAUAUAUUUAUUUCAUAUGGAUAAAGCAAUUUCAGAAAUGAAACAAGUAUAUCUGCAUACUAGUCAUAGCUAUGAUGCUAUAAUAUUUUCAAUACAUGAAAUAUAUAUAUAUAUAUAUAUAUAUAUUGAUAAUAAUAAUUUGAGGGAUUAUAUAUGCUUUCUGUCUACUCAGAACUCUGAAGGUGGUGGAGAUGAUAGUACUGUACAAUCAAACAAUGAGAUUGAGUUUCAGCCUCAUGAUCAGAGUACUCAUCAGCAAUGCUUAAAAAUUAGUGAAGAGGUUGUGAAGGAGAAAAAGUUGGAUUGGAGUGAUACUCGUGAUGUUGACAAGGGAAUUCAUGUUGCAGACAAUUCUGGUCGUUACAUGCUGAUCUAUGCCCAGUUCAUGAUCCGACAACUGAUAUGUAAGGAACCAACUAUUUUGCUCCUUGCAAUUGCUGCAAUAUUGUCGUUUAUCUUUGGAAUCAAAGAAGAAGGUGUGCAGAAUGGUUGGUUUGAAGGAGCACUUCUGGUUGUGAUUAUAUUUGUGAUUGUUUCGUUUAAGCUAGCACGUAAUUGGUACAAAAGACACAUUUGGAAUAAGCAAAAUGAGAACAGAGCAAGGAAGGACCAGCCGUUUAUUUCUGAAACGGACUCCAGUUUUUGUGCCGACUUUGACAAGUUGAACAAUUACAUACAUAUUAGUGGGCUGUCCAUUGGCAUUUUGAUCACUGUGGUGCUGUUCAUUCGCUUUAAAUUGGGCUAUAAAGAUGAUGAGAACGGAUAUAGAUUGGAAACCAAGGAAGAACCAACUGAAAUUGCACGGAUAAUGAAUGCCGUGAAGAAGGUUUUGACAGAAUCAAAGGGAGCAGUGAGAGUUAUGAUAACUUCUCUUGGUAUCACACUGGUGGGGAUUACUGAAGGAGUACCAUUUCUUAUUUCAAUUGCAAGGGCAUACUGGUAUCCAAUUUUUGAUGUUAAGAUGGAACCAGUCAACACCAUCUGUAUAGAAAAAAUUAGAUGGUUGAAAGUUACCCAGUUUCUUCUUGACAAAAAAGAUGUUACCAAGAUACCACCACAUGUCUACAGUGUUCUCUCUGAUGGAAUUGGUGUGUCCCCUCUAACUUCUCAAACAGCCUACCACAGAGUAAAAGAAGCAAUACUCUGCUGGGCAGAAAAGAACACGGGUAUGCAGAGAGACACUUUGGAUAAGCAGUUCACCAUAGUGAAGAACAACGAUGAUGAGAUGAAUCCUUUUGAAGGACCUUGUAAAGUAGUCAUAGAGAAAAAUGGAGAUAAUGGGAAAGAGUACUAUUCAUAUUUCAAGGGUCCUACUGAUUCAAUAUUGCCAAUGUGUUCAAGUUACUAUGACUUGACGGGUCAAGUGCAGGAUUUGGAUGACGAAACAAAGAGUGACAUUGUUCAAACUAACAACAAGAACAUGAACGUAGUUGCAUUUGCCUUCAAACACAGUCAGGACGUUGUUGAACUUGAUGAAAAUGGCCUAACAUUCAUUGGUAUGUUUGUCUUAGAAUAUACUUUCAAUCUAGACAACAUGAGGCAAGGAAUUGCGAUUCUGAAAGAAGGCGGAGUGAAGAUGAUAUUUGCCUCAGAAGAAGAUGUUGAAGUGUUUCGUACCAUUGUUGAUGAAACAGGAUUGCUCAACUCACAUGAAGCUCUAGUAGUUAGGGGCGAAGAUGCUACAAAGGAAAAUGUUGAUAAAAUGUGCGUUAUGGGAAAUUCCUCUCCCGCAUGCAUGCUUCUUUUAAUAGAGCAAUUGAAGAAAAGAGGAGAAGUUGUGGCUGUGGUAGGAGAACAAUCAUCUGAAAGUAAUGUGGUUCUUGAAGCAGCUCAUUUUGGCCUGCCUGUGGUGACUAACUGGCCUGAAACUAUAACUUAUGUGAUUAACAGCAUCAAGGGAGGAAGAAUUGUUUGUGAGUAUAUGAGGCAGUUCAUCCAAGUUGAGAUAAUCUUUGCAAUCAGUAGCUUAUUAAUAAACUUCAUACUGGUUAUAUUAGACGGAGAUGGUCCGUUAACAGUCAUUCAGUUGGUAUGGGUUAACCUUCUUGUAAAAUUUAUUGGAGGGCCAGCUUUGCUAAUUACUCAGCAGGCAACAAGACAACUAAGGGAUGAGCUUUCUAUCAGACCAAGAAAACAGCCAAUUACCAAGGGCAUGUUGAGAAACAUACUUCUUCAAGUUUCUUAUCAGACUGGUAUUUUUGUAUUCCUUCAACACAGAGGAAGUGCAAUACUGGGGAUCACUCCAAAAGUUAACAGAUCGAUAGUCUUGAACGGGUUCGCUUUGUGCCAGCUUUUUAACAUAUUCAGUGCAAGGGAUUUGGAGCAGAGGAAUUAUUUCAAAGGUCUCGGUCAAAAUUACUUGUUUUGGGCAUUGUCUGGGCUCUAUCUUGUGUUGCAGUUUGGAUUCAUUGAAUUAGAGGCUUUCUUGUUUAGCAACACGGCACGACUGAAUUGGAAGCAAUGGGUUGAAUCUAUUUUAAUUGGAGCUGUUACAUGGUUGCUUGAUGUGAUAGUAAAAUGGGCAUCACAAUACAUAAAGAUAAGCAAAUAUUGUGACUGUGGAGUUCUUUACCCAGCCAGAAAUUGGUUACAGAAUUGGUUUGCCAGAAUCAACUGUUGUGACAGUGGACCAACAAGUACACCAAAUUCCACCCUUGUUUCCUUGGAUUCUUCAAGAUCCACUAGCGGAAAGGUACUGUAAAAAUUUAUCCAUACUGCCUAAUUACAGUACAGUUCAAACAAAAGUCUUUCCUAAAAUUUUGGAUUCAAGUUGUAGUUGUUGUUCUUUUGCAGGGCUGAAUAACAAAUAAAUAUUACACGUCGUGUUAAACCAACCAAGCAUAGAGCUAAUACUUUGAUGGAUUAAUCAUAUGUUUCAGUAGCUUCAAUUUUAUUUAUCCAUACUGCCUAAUUACAGUACAGUUCAAACAAAAGUCUUUCCUAAAAUUUUGGAUUCAAGUUGUAGUUGUUGUUCUUUUGCAGGGCUGAAUAACAAAUAAAUAUUACACGUCGUGUUAAACCAACCAAGCAUAGAGCUAAUACUUUGAUGGAUUAAUCAUAUGUUGCAGUAGCUUUAAUUUUUAGUACAUAGUUUCCUCUGUUUUCUAUAGAAGGUUAGAUAUAGUUGGAGCAACACUAAAGUUGUCUCGAUGUAACCGGUAGGUUAUGGGUUAGAGAAGUUAUGAAAUCAGCCUUUGAUGCUUGUAUCAGGUAGGCUGCCUACAUCACACCUUUCAAGGGUAUCAAACCUACGUCAAUGAGGGAUGAUUAGUGCACUAGGGUAUCCUUUUUAGUUAAUUUAUUUUAAUUAAUUUCAUCAAGUUUUUCGGUUCUUGUUCUUGCUCUUCUUCACUUUUAAUUAAAUUCAAGAAUGUAAACUUAUUACAUAGUACUACUCCCUCAAUCCCUUUUUAUAUGUCACAUUUUUACUUUGUACUUGCAUUGAGAAAUGAUAUAACUUUACCCUUCUACCCUUAUUUAAUGUUUUCUUAAGUUAACUUUAUAAUAAAUGAUGAAUACAUUUUCAAGAUUAAUUAACUACUGUAACAAGAGUAUAAUAGGCAAAAUAUAGUAAUUUAAGCAUAAAUUUUAUAAAAUGAUAAGUAUUAUGGUCCAGCUAUUUAUAGAAAGGAAUGUCAUAUAUAAAGAGACGAAGGGAGUAAUAUACAUAGAAAGCAAGAAUUUUAUGAAUUUCAAACACAGGGAAGUUUGCUCAAAAUCAUAAAGCAAACUAGUGAGUACACAUUCUACUAAUUAAUUGGCUUGUUCAAGAAGAUAAAUAUUUCCAAUAUCAUAUAGUAUAUGCAAAAAUAUAACUUAAUUACCUGGAUCUAGUUUUUCUCAAACUUGGUGAAAUGUAAUAGACAAAGCUCUUGUUGAGGAGAAACUGACAAGUCGGAAAUGCCAUUGGAAGAGACUUUUCUUCAGCGAAGUCAACUGCCUGUGGCCGUUUCUUUACUAUAUAUAAAAAAUAAAAAACAAACCUCACUAAUAUCCCAACAUGGAUUUUAUAAGAAUAUUUUUCUUUAAUUUUUGACACAUUUGUCUUUUAUCAAACGUGUCUUCAAUAAAUAUUCAUGUGUGAGUAGGUAAUUCGGAAAAUAUUACUUUAUUUAUUUCAAUUUAUGUUACAAAAAAACUUUUUUAGUUAGUUCUGAAAAUAAUGAUUGUACUUUUUUAUAGAUAUUUUGAAAUAAUUUAACUUGUAAAAAUCUUGUUUCAGAGUAUUGCAUAUCUAUUUGGACGGGUCAUGAUCUAAUUUAAUUUCUAUUUUAAUUUAUUUUAAAAUCUUCAAUUUCAAUUCAACUCGCUCAUUUAACAUCUUUACCUAGAAGCCUCAUAGGAAGUUUCAUUUCACCCAUGUUUGGAAAGUAGAAAUGAGAAAAUUAAGUAAUACAAAUAGUUUAAUGAAAGUUGUAAUAUAAUAGAAUUUUUUAUCAAAGUAAGCCAUUAUUUAAAUCAAUUCACUAUAAUAAUAUGUUUUUUUUGAAAUUUUACAAAACUAGAAUAAACAUAUUUGAUAGUAACGUUUUAGGUAUUAUUUUAUUAAAAAAAAAUCUAUGGCAAAAAGACAAAUUAUCUGACAGAUAAACAAACAUAAAAUGUUACUGUCAAAUACGUUUUAUUAAUUCGUUACUCACGAAUAUGUUUUAAGGCAAAAACGUUACUGACAGUAACGACUCUUUAAUAACACAAGAAUAGUUUAAGUCUCAAAAGCCAACUUGCUUUACAAAUAGAGUAAUUAGUAGCAAAAAAGAACUGAAUAAUAACACAAGAAUAACUUACUAUUUUUACAUGUAAAUUGCAGAAAGAAACGGAAAAAGAAUGAGAAAAAAGCGAAAAGACUAUAUGGGCAAAUACUUACUUGAAGUCAUUUAGACCUACAGGUUUUCAAAGGCAAGCUAAGGCUGAUGAUGGAAAAUAUAGAACUUGGUCAUGUUAAUCCUUAAUUUUGACUAGAUAAAAAUUAAAAAUCUAAUACGAAAGGAAGUCUUGGAAAGAGGAAUAAGUUCUUGCUAAAUACAAGAGAUAAUUUAAUAGUAAUAAGGUGUAUGGUGGCAGUAACCAAUGGAGUAAAAAUUGUCAAUACAGUCGGUAACCUUUUAACCUUAUAAGGUGUGCAUGAUUGGAUUCUAAAGAGUUGGUAACGUUUUAGCCUUAAAACGUGUGUACGAGUAACAAAUUAAUAUAACGUAUUUGACAGUAACGUUUUAUGCUUGGUUACUAUGUCAGACAAUUGUAUUUUUGCCAUUAAUAUUUUUUUAAUAAAAUAAUACCUAAAACGUUACUGCCAAAUACGUUUAUUUUGUAAAAUUUCAAAAAAAUAUCUUGUUUUGAUAAAUUAAUUUAAAUAAUGGCUUACUUUGAUAAAAAAUUCUAAUAAGCUUAUACACCAACAAGCCUUCCCACAGUAGCCUAUUUGAGGAAACAUUUUAUGGUGGAGGCAUAUCACAUUGUGACAUUUGUACGAGGAAGUUUUUUAAUUGAAAAAUGUGUCUCACUCUAUUACAACUUUUUUUCUCUUCUCACCUCUCCACCUUCAAUUUCUUCCAUUUUGCCCUCCCUCUAACAUAAAAUACUUUUUUUAAAAAAAUAAAUUAUUAACAUAUAUUUCAUUGAGUAAAUUACAAUAAUAUAAUGACAAAUCAAGUCACAGUGAAAACUGGUACUAAUGUCUUGAAAUGUAUGAAAAAUCAAGGCACAUAGUAAAAAAGUAGUACUACUAUGCUUAAAUUAAUAUUUUGUUCUUUUCUUCUUUUUUCUCUCUAACAUCACUUAUCCAAUCCCACUCUCUUGUGUAUUUUGUUUCUCUUUCUUUUUUAGACUCAAUUUUCAUUUGUCAAAAACCAAAUAGAGAUAAAUUGAUUAAUACUAGGCAAUUCAGAUUUAAAUUCAAACAACUAAUAAAAUGUCUAAAAAAGAAUUAAUCAAAACAUACGCUCUUGACCUCAUAUAAAUUUGACUAUAUCAUUUGUAGAGUAAAUAUAAUUGGACACUCCAUUAUGCAAUGAAAUUAUGUGCAAAUAAAUUAAAAUUAUUCGAUGUUAGCUGGAGGGGUAAAUUAAAGUAAUGUUAAUUGUUUCUUGUUCAAGUUUUAACAUGUGAAAUAAAUAGGUUGAUGCCUGUUAUACUUUUUACUAUUGUCAUCCUAGAAUAUUACUAAUUCAAAAUGACUUAAUUUCUGUAAGAUAAUCUCGAGGCAUGACGUUUGUUGUAGAUAGUGCUUGGAAGUUUUCCUCCUAUGUACCUUUUGUGAGAUCCUUUUCAAUCAUCUAUUCUGUCUCAACUGUACUUAUCACAAGAAAGCCGUACUUAUCACAAGAAAGAAAGAGUGUUUUUUGUUAAAUUAGGUCUUAGGUCUAACUCACACCCCAAAAGCUAGCUCAAAGGGAGGAGGAUUGCCCAAGCCUUAUAACCCAUCUCAUUAACCACCGAUGUGGGAGUUUUGUCAUUCUUUAACACUUUUCUAUUUUAUACUAAAUCCCCCAAAAAAACUAGUGUGCAGCGUAGUGCUGAUCAAAGCUAGGAUGAUGGAUGAAGAUAAUGGCUCAGACAUUGAAGCUCAGCGCUGUUAAUGAAUGGUGAAUUAGGUAAAUCUAGUUUGAUCAUGAGGAAGUCGGUGCUCAUUAUCAAAUCUACUUACAAGUUCAUUGAAGCUGGAGCAAGAAUACCAUCUCUUUCUCGAGUCUCAUCCUCCACCACAACCUUUUAUACUCCUCUUCCCAGCUUUAAUCUUAAACAUCAAGUAAGUAUAUAAACAUAUGUCUUUAUCGCUACUAUAUAUACACACGUAGUUAUUAAGCAUAUAUGCUCUCUCUCUCUCUGUAAUUAGGAUGCAGAAGGUGGUGAAGAUGAAAUCCAGGUUGUUGAAAUUGUGGCUGAUGAUAAUACUGUACAAUCAAACAAUGAUCACGUCGACAUUGAUCAAAGUACUCAUCAGCAAUGCCUACAAAUUAGUGAAGAGAUUGUGAAGGAGAAGAAGUUGGAUUGGAGUGAUAUUCAUGAUGUUGACAAGGGAAUUCAUGUUGGAGAUAAUUCUGGUCGUCACAUGCUGAUCUUCACAGGGUACAUCAUCCGACAAUUGGUAUGCAAGGAACCAACUAUUUUUCUCCUUGCAAUUGCUGCAAUGUUGUCGUUUGUCUUUGGAAUCAAAGAAGAAGGUGUGCAGAAUGGUUGGUUUGAAGGAGCACUUCUGGUUGUGAUUGUUUUGUUUAAGUUUGCACGAAAUUGGUACAAGAGACACCUUUGGAAGAAGCAUAAAGAUUACAAAGAAAGGAAGAAUUACCCCCUGUUCAUUUCUGAAACGGACUCCAGCUUUUGUGCCUGUUUUGACAAGUUGAACAAUUAUAUACAUAUUAGGGGGUUGUUGAUUGGCAUUUUGAUCACUGUGGUGCUGUUCAUUCGCUUUAAAUUGGGCCAUAAAGAUGACGAAAAUGGAUAUAGAUUAGAAACCAAGGAAGAACCAGCUGAAAUUGCACAGAUAAUGAAUGCCGUGAAAAAGGUUUUAACAGAAUCAAAGGGAACAGUAAGAGUUCUGAUAACUUUACUUGGUGUCACACUGGUAGGGGUACCAUUUCUUAUUUCAAUUACAAUGGCAUAUUGGUAUCCGAAUUUUGAUGUUAAAAUGGAAUCAGUCAACACCCUAUGUAUAGAAAAUGUUGGCUGGUUGAAAGAGCAAAAACUGGAAGUUAGUCAGUUUAUGCUUGACAAAAAAUAUGUUACCAAGAGCAGUUGAAGAAAAGAGGAGAAGUGGUGGCCGUGGUAGGAGAGCAAACAUUUGAAAGUAAUGUGGUUCUUGAAGCAGCUCAUUUUGGCCUGCAUGUGGUGACUAACUGGCCUGAAACUAUAAUUUAUGUGAUUUACAGCAUCAAGGGAGGAAGAAUUGUUUGUGAGAAUAUGAGACAAUUUAUCCAAGUUGAGGUAAUCUUGGCAAUAAGUAGCUUAUCAAUAAACUUCAUAGUGGUUAUAGUAGACGGAGAUGCCCCGUUAACAUUCAUUCAGUUGGUAUGGGUUAACCUUCUUGUUACAUUUAUUGGAGGGCCAGCUUUGCUAAUUACUCAACAGGCCACAAGACAACUAAGCGAUGAGCUAUCUAUCAGACCAAGAAAACUGCCAAUUACCAAGGGCAUGUUGAGAAACAUACUUCUUCAAGUUUCUUAUCAGACUGGAAUUUUUGUAUUCCUUCAACACAGAGGAAGUGCAGUACUGGGGAUCACUCCAAAAGUUAACAGAUCUAUAGUCUUUAACGGUUUCGCUCUGUGCCAGUUUUUUAACAUAUUCAGUGCAAGGGAUUUGGAGCAGAGGAAUUAUUUCAAACAUCUUGUUAAAAAUUACUUGUUUUGGGCAUUGUCUGGGCUCUAUCUUGUGUUGCAGUUUGGAUUCAUUGAAGUAGAGGUUGUUUUUGUCUUUAGCAACACGGCACGACUGAAUUGGAAGCAAUGGGUUGAAUCCAUUUUAAUUGGAGUUGUUACAUGGUUGCUUGAUGUGAUAGUAAAAUGGGCAUCACAAUACAUAAAGAUGGACAAGUAUUGCGACUGUGGAGUUCUUCACCUGGCUAGAAACUGGGUACAGGAUUGGUUUUCCAGAGUCAAUUGCUGUGACAGUGGACCAAGAAGUACACCAAAUCCAACUCUUGCUUCUUUGGAUUCUCCAAGAUCCUCUAGUGGAAAGGUACUAUACAGAUUUAUCCAUACUGCCUAAUUAUAGAAAAUUCAAAGUCUUUCCUCUUUAUUCCUAAAACAAUUUGGAUUCAAGUUGUAGUUAUUCUUUUGCAGGGCUGGAUAACAAAUAUAACACGUCGUGUUAAACCAACCAAUGAUAGAACUAAUACUUUGAUGGAUUAAUCAUAUGUUGCAGUAGCUUCAAUUUUUAGUAUAUAUUUUCCACUGUUUUUAUAGGGGUUAGAUACACCUGGAGCAAUAGUAAAGUUGUCUUCAUGUGACGUAUAGGUUACGGGUUUGAACCAUGCUGGAAUCAGCUCAUGAUGCUUGCAUCAAAGUUGGCGGCGUCGGCCCUUCCCGGACCUAGUCAAUGCGGGUUGAUUAGAGCACUAGGUUACCCUUUUUAGUCUGUAGGGGCAAGUUAAUUUAUGUUAAUUCAUUUCCUCAAGUUUUUGGUUUCUCAUAUGUGUUGGAUGGAAAUAAAAAAACGUUAGUUCUUGUUCUCUCGUUCUUCUUCUUUUCACUUUUAACUAAAUUCAAGAAUGCAACCUUAUUAUAUAGUACUAAUAUAUACAAAAAGCAAGAAUUUUAUGAAUUUCAAACACAUGGAAAUUUGCUCAAAAUCAUAAAGAAAGCUAGUCAGUAUUCAUUCUACCCAUUGGCUCGUACAAGAAGAUAAAUACUCCCUCCGUUCCUUUUUAUAUGUUAUCUUUUUCUAUAAAUAGUUGGUUCAUAAUACUUGUCAUGUCAUAAAAUUAAUGCAUAAAUUACCAUAUUAUUCCUUUUUUACUCUUGUGAGUUAUUAGCCUUGAAAAUAUACAUUUGACCAACUUAGAAAAGCUAAGUAAUUGAUUCAUGUUCAUUGGUUAAAUUAAUCAAUCAAAAUAAAUUAAUUCAUAUUCAUUGAUUGAAAACUUGAGUUGCAAAAAAAUUAAAUAAGGGUAGAAGGGUAAAACUACAUCAUUUGUUAAUGCAAGUGCAAAGUAAAAAUGUGACAUAUAAAAAAGGAACGGAGGGAGUAUCAUAUAAUAUGCAAAAAUAUAACUUAAUUACCUGUAUUUUUUCUCAAACUUGGUGUAAUUUAUUAGACAAAGCUCUUGUUGAGGAGAAAUUGACAAGCCAGCAAUGCCUCUUUGUUUGUUGUAUUUUCAUCCGCUCAACUUAGUAGAAAAUGCACGAUCGCUCAAAAAAAUAUUUCACAGAAAUAAUUAUUACAAAUAAUUAACAUCUAGAAGGUUGUAGCAACAAAUAUAC